rnacentral:rRNA from 1 species
GAUUAACGCUGGCGGCGUGCAUGAGACAUGCAAGUCGAACGGGUGACUCGGGCUUGCUCGAGUCGCUAGUGGCGAACGGCUGAGUAACACGUAGGUGACCUGCCCGAAGUGGGGAAUAACUGCCCGAAAGGGUGGCUAAUACCGCAUGUGGUCGCACGUUCGGUCGUGCGAGUAAAGCCGCAAGGCGCUUCGGGAGGGGCCUGCGUCCGAUUAGCUCGUUGUGGGGGUAAUGGCUCACCAAGGCGACGAUCGGUAGGUGGUCUGAGAGGACGAUCACCCAGACUGGGACUGAGACACGGCCCAGACUCCUACGGGAGGCAGCAGUCGGGAAUUUUGCUCAAUGGGCGAAAGCCUGAAGCAGCAACGCCGCGUGAGGGAUGACGGCCUUCGGGUUGUAAACCUCUUUUCUCAGGGACGAUGAUGACGGUACCUGAGGAAUAAGCCACGGCAAACUACGUGCCAGCAGCCGCCGCCG